rnacentral:rRNA from 1 species
CGGAGGGAUCAUUACCGAGUUUACAACUCCCAAACCCCUGUGAACAUACCUUAAUGUUGCCUCGGCGGAUCAGCCCGCGCCCCGUAAAACGGGACGGCCCGCCAGAGGACCCAAACUCUAAUGUUUCUUAUUGUAACUUCUGAGUAAAACAAACAAAUAAAUCAAAACUUUCAACAACGGAUCUCUUGGUUCUGGCAUCGAUGAAGAACGCAGCAAAAUGCGAUAAGUAAUGUGAAUUGCAGAAUUCAGUGAAUCAUCGAAUCUUUGAACGCACAUUGCGCCCGCUGGUAUUCCGGCGGGCAUGCCUGUUCGAGCGUCAUUUCAACCCUCAAGCCCCCGGGUUUGGUGUUGGGGAUCGGCUCUGCCCUUCUGGGCGGUGCCGCCCCCGAAAUACAUUGGCGGUCUCGCUGCAGCCUCCAUUGCGUAGUAGCUAACACCUCGCAACUGGAACGCGGCGCGGCCAUGCCGUAAAACCCCAACUUCUGAAUGUUGACCUCGGAUCAGGUAGGAAUACCCGCUGAACUUAAGCAUAUCAAUAAGCGGAGGAAAAGAAACCAACAGGGAUUGCCCUAGUAACGGCGAGUGAAGCGGCAACAGCUCAAAUUUGAAAUCUGGCUUUCGGGCCCGAGUUGUAAUUUGUAGAGGAUACUUUUUGAUGCGGUGCCUUCCGAGUUCCCUGGAACGGGACGCCAUAGAGGGUGAGAGCCCCGUCUGGUUGGAUGCCAAAUCUCUGUAAAGUUCUUCGACGA